rnacentral:rRNA from 1 species
GACGAACGCUGGCGGUGUGCUUAACACAUGCAAGUCGAACGGUAAGGCCCUUUCGGGGGUACACGAGUGGCGAACGGGUGAGUAACACGUGAGUAACCUGCCCUCAUCUCUGGGAUAACAGUCGGAAACGGUUGCUAAUACUGGAUAUGAGCUUGCAAGGCAUCUUGUGGGUUGGAAAGAUUUUUUUGGUUGGGGAUGGACUCGCGGCCUAUCAGCUUGUUGGUGAGGUAGUGGCUCACCAAGGCUUCGACGGGUAGCCGGCCUGAGAGGGCGACCGGCCACAUUGGGACUGAGAUACGGCCCAAACUCCUACGGGAGGCAGCAGUGGGGAAUAUUGCACAAUGGACGGAAGUCUGAUGUAGCAACGCCGCGUGCGGGAUGACGGCCUUCGGGUUGUAAACCGCUUUCAAUUGUGACGAAGCUUUUUGUGACGGUAGCAGUAGAAGAAGCACCGGCUAACUACGUG